GAUGAAGAACGCAGCGAAAUGCGAUAAGUAAUGUGAAUUGCAGAAUUCAGUGAAUCAUCGAAUCUUUGAACGCACAUUGCGCCCGCUAGUAUUCUGGCGGGCAUGCCUGUCCGAGCGUCAUUUCAACCCUCAAGCCCCCGGGCUUGGUGUUGGGGAUCGGCGAGCCUCCGCGCCCGCCGUCCCCUAAAUCUAGUGGCGGUCUCGCUGUAGCUUCCUCUGCGUAGUAGCACACCUCGCACUGGGAAACAGCGCGGCCACGCCGUUAAACCACCAACUUCUGAACGUUUGACCUCGGAUCAGGUAGGAAUACCCGCUGAACUUAAGCAUAUCAAUAGCGGAGGA
rnacentral:misc_RNA from 1 species